rnacentral:rRNA from 1 species
AGUGAACGCUGGCGGUAGGCCUAACACAUGCAAGUCGAACGGCAGCACAGUAAGAGCUUGCUCUUACGGGUGGCGAGUGGCGGACGGGUGAGGAAUACAUCGGAAUCUACUUUUUCGUGGGGGAUAACGUAGGGAAACUUACGCUAAUACCGCAUACGACCUACGGGUGAAAGCAGGGGAUCUUCGGACCUUGCGCGAUUGAAUGAGCCGAUGUCGGAUUAGCUAGUUGGCGGGGUAAAGGCCCACCAAGGCGACGAUCCGUAGCUGGUCUGAGAGGAUGAUCAGCCACACUGGAACUGAGACACGGUCCAGACUCCUACGGGAGGCAGCAGUGGGGAAUAUUGGACAAUGGGCGCAAGCCUGAUCCAGCCACACCGCAUGUGUGAAGAAGGCCUUCGGGUUGUAAAGCCCUUUUGUUGGGAAAGAAAAGCAGCAGGUUAAUACCCCGCUGUUCUGACGGUACCCAAAGAAUAAGCACCGGCUAACUUCGUG